UGCAAGUCGAGCGGACAGAAGGGAGCUUGCUCCCGGAUGUUAGCGGCGGACGGGUGAGUAACACGUGGGUAACCUGCCUGUAAGACUGGGAUAACUCCGGGAAACCGGAGCUAAUACCGGAUAGUUCCUUGAACCGCAUGGUUCAAGGAUGAAAGACGGUUUCGGCUGUCACUUACAGAUGGACCCGCGGCGCAUUAGCUAGUUGGUGAGGUAACGGCUCACCAAGGCGACGAUGCGUAGCCGACCUGAGAGGGUGAUCGGCCACACUGGGACUGAGACACGGCCCAGACUCCUACGGGAGGCAGCAGUAGGGAAUCUUCCGCAAUGGACGAAAGUCUGACGGAGCAACGCCGCGUGAGUGAUGAAGGUUUUCGGAUCGUAAAGCUCUGUUGUUAGGGAAGAACAAGUGCAAGAGUAACUGCUUGCACCUUGACGGUACCUAACCAGAAAGCCACGGCUAACUACGUGCCAGCAGCCGCGGUAAUACGUAGGUGGCAAGCGUUGUCCGGGAAUUAUUGGGCGUAAAGGGCUCGCAGGCGGUUUCUUAAGUCUGAUGUGAAAGCCCCCGGCUCAACCGGGGAGGGUCAUUGGAAACUGGGAAACUUGAGUGCAGAAGAGGAGAGUGGAAUUCCACGUGUAGCGGUGAAAUGCGUAGAGAUGUGGAGGAACACCAGUGGCGAAGGCGACUCUCUGGUCUGUAACUGACGCUGAGGAGCGAAAGCGUGGGGAGCGAACAGGAUUAGAUACCCUGGUAGUCCACGCCGUAAACGAUGAGUGCUAAGUGUUAGGGGGUUUCCGCCCCUUAGUGCUGCAGCUAACGCAUUAAGCACUCCGCCUGGGGAGUACGGUCGCAAGACUGAAACUCAAAGGAAUUGACGAGGGGCCCGCACAACGCGGUGGAGCAUGUGGUUUAAUUCGAAGCAACGCGAAGAACCUUACCAGGUCUUGACAUCCUCUGACAACCCUAGAGAUAGGGCUUUCCCUUCGGGGACAGAGUGACAGGUGGUGCAUGGUUGUCGUCAGCUCGUGUCGUGAGAUGUUGGGUUAAGUCCCGCAACGAGCGCAACCCUUGAUCUUAGUUGCCAGCAUUCAGUUGGGCACUCUAAGGUGACUGCCGGUGACAAACCGGAGGAAGGUGGGGAUGACGUCAAAUCAUCAUGCCCCUUAUGACCUGGGCUACACACGUGCUACAAUGGACAGAACAAAGGGCUGCGAGACCGCAAGGUUUAGCCAAUCCCACAAAUCUGUUCUCAGUUCGGAUCGCAGUCUGCAACUCGACUGCGUGAAGCUGGAAUCGCUAGUAAUCGCGGAUCAGCAUGCCGCGGUGAAUACGUUCCCGGGCCUUGUACACACCGCCCGUCACACCACGAGAGUUUGCAACACCCGAAGUCGGUGAGGUAACCUUUAUGGAGCCAGCCGCCGAAGGUGGGGCAGAUGAUUGGGGUGAAGUCGUA
rnacentral:rRNA from 1 species